GACGAACGCUGGCGGCGUGCUUAACACAUGCAAGUCGAACGGAAAGGCCCUGCUUUUGUGGGGUGCUCGAGUGGCGAACGGGUGAGUAACACGUGAGUAACCUGCCCUUGACUUUGGGAUAACUUCAGGAAACUGGGGCUAAUACCGGAUAGGAGCUCCUGCUGCAUGGUGGGGGUUGGAAAGUUUCGGCGGUUGGGGAUGGACUCGCGGCUUAUCAGCUUGUUGGUGGGGUAGUGGCUUACCAAGGCUUUGACGGGUAGCCGGCCUGAGAGGGUGACCGGCCACAUUGGGACUGAGAUACGGCCCAGACUCCUACGGGAGGCAGCAGUGGGGAAUAUUGCACAGUGGGCGGAAGCCUGAUGCAGCAACGCCGCGUGCGGGAUGACGGCCUUCGGGUUGUGAACCGCUUUCGCCUGUGACGAAGCGUGAGUGACGGUAAUGGGUAAAGAAGCACCGGCUAACUACGUG
rnacentral:rRNA from 1 species